CACACACACCCCCAUACUGACCUACUGUACCUCAUACACACCCGCACAGAUACUGUACCAUUCCACAUGGCUCAGAAUCCAUGAUGACACCCCUAUGUCCCUGUUUGCUCUGUAUGAGUUCAUGUCUGACACUCCCUUUUCCGAGGAUAAGUAACUGCUAGAAACUGAUAAUGAUAAUGAUAAAUGAUAAUAAAAUAUUUCUAUGAACUGCAUGGCAUGAAAUGGAACUGUUAAACGAUAUGCGCUGUCUAAAUCCUCUACGGCCUCUGCAUGAAGAAUCAUCAAAGCUCAGGGUGGGGACAGACAGCCCAUCUCAUUAUGGAGCGCAGGUCACAAUGCAUGUAGACCUACCAUCUCAGUAUGGAGCGCAGGUCACAAUGCAUGUAGACCUACCAUCUCAGUAUGGAGCGCAGGACACAAUGCAUGUAGACCUACCAUCUCAGUAUGGAGCGCAGGUCACAAUGCAUGUAGACCUACCAUCUCAGUAUGGAGCGCAGGUCACAAUGCAUGUAGACCUACCAUCUCAGUAUGGAGCGCAGGUCACAAUGCAUGUAGACCUACCAUCUCAGUAUGGAGCGCAGGUCACAAUGCAUGUAGACCUACCAUCUCAGUAUGGAGCGCAGGUCACAAUGCAUGUAGACCUACCAUCUCAGUAUGGAGCGCAGGUCACAAUGCAUGUAGACCUACCAUCUCAGUAUGGAGCGCAGGUCACAAUGCAUGUAGACCUACCAUCUCAGUAUGGAGCGCAGGUCACAAUGCAUGUAGACCUACCAUCUCAGUAUGGAGCGCAGGUCACAAUGCAUGUAGACCUACCAUCUCAGUAUGGAGCGCAGGUCACAAUGCAUGUAGACCUACCAUCUCAGUAUGGAGCGCAGGUCACAAUGCAUGUAGACCUACCAUCUCAGUAUGGAGCGCAGGUCACAAUGCAUGUAGACCUACCAUCUCAGUAUGGAGCGCAGGUCACAAUGCAUGUAGACCUACCAUCUCAGUAUGGAGCGCAGGUCACAAUGCA